UCCACAUCUCUAGUCCUAGACCCUUGGGAGGCUGAGACAGGAAGACUGCUUGAGUCCAGGAGUUCUGGGCUGUAGUGUGCUGUGCUGAUGGGGUGUCCGGGCUAAACUUGAGCUCCUGGGAGCAGAGGAUCACCAGGUUGCCUAAGGAGGAGUGAACCAGUCCAGGUAGGAAAUGGAGUAGGUCAAAACUCCUGUGCUGACCAGUAGUGGGAUUGUAACUGUGAUUUGCCACUGCACUGUAGUCUGGGCAGCAUAUCAAGACUCUGCUCU
rnacentral:SRP_RNA from 1 species